rnacentral:rRNA from 1 species
UACGUAGGGUGCAAGCGUUGUCCGGAAUUAUUGGGCGUAAAGAGCUCGUAGGCGGCCUGUCGCGUCGGAUGUGAAAGCCCGGGGCUUAACCCCGGGUCUGCAUUCGAUACGGGCAGGCUAGAGUUCGGUAGGGGAGAUCGGAAUUCCUGGUGUAGCGGUGAAAUGACGCAGAUAUCAGGAGGAACACCGGUGGCGAAGGCGGAUCUCUGGGCCGAUAUUGACGCUGAGGAGCGAAAGCGUGGGGGAGCGAACAGG